AAAACCCAUGAGUACACCACAGCGAACAAAAUUGCUGGUUUGUAAAACCUUGGAAGAGGCUUUAAGGAAAAUCCAGGAGCUGGAAAUGCAAGAUAAUUUGUGCCUGACUCUAGUACGAAGAAUUUUGGGAAGACGAUUUGGCCUAAAAAGACCUGUAGCAGUUAACAAGCUAUAUACAAAAUGACCACCACCACUAUCACCCUAAAGUGUGUGCUUGGUGUCUGUCUACACGUGCUUGCUUCUGGAAUGUUGAAGAACAAACUGUGUUGAAACGCCAACUGGAGUUGGUCAUGGACCUUUGCCGCCCUUCAUCCAGAGCCUUCCACAGAGAUGGCAGAUAUAUCGCUGCCUGGACCAACAGUUGACCAUGCCGUUGAGUCCAUGAUAUCAGUAGCAGCCAUGAAAACAUCUACAGAAUUACAUCUGCGGCCGUGCCUAUUAAUGGAUACAUUCUGCACCACUUCCAUGUGUAAGAAUAGAACUUUCCAAGUCCUCAGCAUAAGCAUUUCUGUAUUUAAAACGAAAAAUAAUUUAAAAAAAAAAUAAAUAUAGUUUUAAAUGAUUAUAUACAGGCAAAGUAAAUUAUAUAAUUUGUUUCAUGAAUGUGUUUUUUUUUUAAUUGCUGUUAAAGCAACAGUGUGCACCAGAUGAUCAAAUUGCAAGUUUAUUAAGUUUAGCAGUUAUUUCAUAUUUUUCCAUUAAAAAAAAGAUUACUGGGUAUGUCUACCUAGUAGAAUUAAUUUCUUAUGCGUGAUUGGCUAGUCGAUGUUAUCACAUGAUAUAACCAAGUUAGGUGUAUAGCUUUAAUAUACCACUUGAUUGAAGUAAGCCUUCGUAGCACAGUUGAUACAACACUGGACUUCAAUUUCGGUGACACAUUUUUUUUACAUGUUUGUACUUUUUUUACAAUUAUGACAUAAAAGCGUAACACAUUCUUUUAAAUAAUUGUCCUGAGAUAUGUUACAGAAAAAAAACUUUUUUAGUUCCAAUCUGGUGUACAGUCCCUUUAAGGCCUUAUACCGUACUUGUAGACUUAUUGUUUAUGAUAGUCUGUUUAAUCAUUUUAUUGUAUAUGGGCAACAUUUUAUGUAACAUCACUUUAUGUAAAAAGUAAGCCUUCGUAGUGCAGUUGAUACAACACUGGACUUCAAUUUCGGUGACACAUUUUUUUUUUACAUGUUUGUACUUUUUUUACAAUUAUGACAUAAAAGCGUAACACAUUCUAUUAAAUAAUUGUCCUGAGAUAUGUUACAGAAAAAAAACUUUUUUAGUGCCAAUCUGGUGUACAGUCCCUUUAAGGCCUUAUACCGUACUUGUAGACUUAUUGUUUAUGAUAGUCUGUUUAAUCAUUUUAUUGUAUAUGGGCAACAUUUUAUGUAACAUCCUUGGCUUGCAGAGAAUCUGUGAUAUAAAAGACCUCUUUUGUGCUGCAUUGUGUCAUUGAUUUAUUGUAUUUUAUAUGUAUUAUGCCACUAUUGUAAAAACAAAUGGGCAUAUGUUUUAGCAUAUGUUUUCAAACAGACACAUUCAUAUUUCAAACAGACACAUUUAUAUUUUUGAAUAAUUUGAAAAUACAUUUUGUAGGUUGACUUUACACCAUGAAACAUUAAUGGUAGGUUAUAUUUGACCAGAACAUGACAAGUAUUGUUUUCGGAGUUUUUUGGUCGAAGGUGAAGGUAAUGGCUAACAGUGGUUAUUCUGCACAAUGACCCUUGAAUUCUUUGACCUAGGACCAUUAAUAUUUAGUGAUUGAUAUAUCAGUCCAACUCAUAUGUGAAAGGGACAUGAUGAAAUUGAGCAAGAGCUUAUUAGCAUUGCAAAUUAUUAUUUGUUCAUUUUUAGCUCGACUAUUCGAAGAAUAGGUGGGCUAUACUAUCAUUAACAAUUCUGCGUUUAAGUUUUCAUUUUAUGCAAUAAAAUCAAGAGUUUUUAUCCAAUGGUAAUCAAACUUGGUCAGACUAUUUGUCGGCAUGUUGAAGAUGUAUGAAUAUGGGUCAUCCCUGGUCAAAUUCUAGGUCACUAGGUCACAUCUUAGCGAAAAUAUUUCCAUGUCGUAAAUUCAACAUUUUUUUCAUAUCUUUAUGAAACUUGGUCAGAAUAUUUGUCUGCAUACUAUCUUGAAAGUUUUUUAAUAUGGGUCAUCCCGGGUCAAAUUCUAGGUCACUAGGUCAAAUCUUAGGAAAAUCAUUCCACAUCAUAAAUUGAACAAUUUUUGUCAAAUCUUUAUGAAACUUGGUCAGAAUAUUUGUCUGCAUAAUAUCUUAAAAGUUCUAUAAUAUGGGUCAUCCCCGGUCAAAACCUAGGUCACAAGGUCAAAUUUUAGAAGAAAGAAUCCCACAGUCAUAAAAAUUAAUUAAUUUUAGUCAAAUCUUUUUUAAACUUGGUCAGAAUAUUUGUCUACAUGUUGUCUUAAUCAUUUGUGAAUAUAGGUCACCUCAGAUCAAAAACUAGGUCACUAGGUCAAAUCUUAGGAAAUACUUUCCUGAUGUCAUAAAAAAAAUCUAUGCUUACCAAAGCUAUCCAUAUCAGUUAAUAACUAAAUUCAAUUGUUAUUUUAUAAACACACAUCCAAAUCAUGAAUUUCAGAUCUAACCAUAUUUUUCAAAAAUUUAAAUUUUAAUUAACUUUAAAAAUAUUUGUGUACAUGAAAUCUUAGAUGAUAAAGUGUGUCAUCUAGGGUCAAAAACUAGGUCUCUGGGACAGAUCUUAUUGGAAAAGCUGAUGUAUUUAUAAAAUGUUCGUUUUUCCUCACACAAAUGGAAUAGUUUCUGUUGAUCAGGUUAUUUGUAUGAAUGAUAUCUCCGAUAAAUAUAAAUAUGGGUCUUUUUGGUUAAAAAUACUAGGUCAUUAGCUCAAAUCCUAGGUUUGCAAAAUUGCAUUGUCAAAUAAAAAAUCAAGCUUUAUGCGGCGUUGCCGCGUUGGCGUCUUGUUAUUUUUUUAUUUUGACAGGCACAUUUUUAUAAUCUUAACCAAAUCAAACCUUGUUUUGUCACAUUGUGAUUCUUAUUCACUUUUUUUAUUUGAUUGUUUUAUUGCUUUUUACAGGCACAUAUCACACUAUUAUUGUAUUUACGUCCAAUUCCAAGAGGCGUAGUAGAGCGCACUGUUUUACGACAGCUCUUGUUAACCUGUAAAGUGAAACCUGGUUAUAAAAAUGACAUGACUGUGUCAUUGUGUUGGCAGGCCAGGAGGAGGGCAGCAUCAAAUACAUCUACAAACUUAGUAUACAAAGUAUUAUAGAAUUGCUUUCGGGGCCCAUAGGAUCAAGGUCACUAAAACAAAAAAUAUUGAAACUUAAUCGCACAACAAAGGCUUAAUUAAUUAGGUUUGUCUGUCAAUCAUUGAAAACUUGUUGUUUUUUUUGCAUUGCAGCAUUUCAUGCUUAAUUUUUAUUUUGUCUCUUUAUUGCAUAUUACCUUUAUCAUUAUUGUAUUCAUUUCUAAGACAAAGCAGCAUAUAGUUGAGGGCACUGCCCCAUGACAGCUCUUGUAUAUCCUAAAAAGAAUACAAUAGUGAUAUACCCUGAUAUAGGUAGUUUUGGUACAUUAUCACGGUUUUAAUUUUAGCUCUACUGGCCAAAGAUCAGAAUAUCUGAUGUGAUGGUAAUGUGUACGUAGUAUGUGCUUCCUAGCGCCUGUAAACAAUUGCUUGUGAACACCAUACAGUCUUUAGUUAUGAUUGUAUCUCAAUAAAACAGUAUUUAGAUAUCCAAUAGAGCUCGGUUCCUUUCGAAAACCAGUCAGAUCUGCACAUGCAUGCCUAGAUUAUGGGCCUUGAACAUCUGUGCGACUGUAAACAAUUGCUUGUGAACACGGUACAGUCUUCAGUUUUAAUUGUAUAUAGAUGAAACUUGUACAGUAUUAAGAUAUCAAUUUGAGCUUGGUUCCUUUCGAAAACCAGAUAUGCCCAUGCAUACCUAGAUUAUGGGCCUCAAAAGUAAAAAAAAUGCUAUUUUUAGCCAAGUCUACAUGAGCGAAGUCUAUUUUUAGACAAGUUUACAUGUAAUCUCACAAAUUCAUGUGAAAAAUUGUUCAAAUUAGGCCCCUGGGGUCAUUAUUGGCCACGCCACUGGGUUCACUGGUUUGGUAUACUAAAUUGGGAAAUGUUUGAAAAUCUUUAUGUCUGAAACAAUUAUGCAGACCCUUGUUAUUUUGAAUAAGGAUUAUUUUAUUGGUCUGCUACCAUGGUUGUUCAAAUUAUGCCCCUAGGGUCAAAACUGGCACUGCCCCCAGGGGUCACAAGUUUUUUAAGAAAUAUUUUCAAAAUCUUCUUGUUUCAAACCACAAGGCUCAUAUCUUUGAUAUUUGUUGUGGAGCAUUAUAUGUAGACCGUCUUGCAAAACAGUUGAAAUUAUGUGCCCUGGGCCGGGGCCACCAUCCAUUUUGUUACAAAAAUGAAAAUUUGACCAAUAGUACAGUUUUGUAGCAAAUUUCAUUCUCCUCAGAUGACCUUUACUUGGCACAUAUUAGAAUACUAGUAGUUCAUGCAACUAAUCUGCUUACAACACUUUCUGUUCUCAGAUGUUAAAUGUGCAACAUUUAAGCUAACUCAAACACAAAACGUGAACAAUAUGUUUGUUGGCUAUUACUCAUACAUACAUGCUCUGGAUCAAAAAUAACCACAUGAGCCAUGCCACUAGAGCAUAGGCACUCAUGGGCCUCUUGUUUUUUUUUAGAAAAAAAGCAUACUGACCAACCCUAUUUAUUUUAGAAGUUAGCUGAAACUAAGAACUUUUUUUUACCUUACUUUUAUAUUAGAUUGUAUAUUGCUAAGAUUUUUGCUUAAAGCUCCAUUUAAGGUAACUGUUCAUCUCAAAUGUAACAGCUUUUGCCUUCAAACUUUUAAAAUUUCAUUGAACCAGUGGGUUCAUCAUGAUGCACAUCUGUAAAUGUUUCUCCCUAAUAUGGGCUUUUAUGUAUGCAAACAGAACAUUGAACAAUUGGCUUUCUGUGUAAAGUAAACCCUGUCCAGAACAUUUGUCAAAUUGCUGUGUCAGCACUUGUUUGAAUGUAUUUAUUUUAUUUUCAUAUUAUGAUUUCAAAUAAAGUAUUUAAAAAUGUUGA